GACAGAGGUGGCAAGCGUUGUUCGGAAUCACUGGGCUUAAAGGGCGCGUAGGCGGUAUUGCAAGUGUGGGGUGGAAUUCCAGGGCUCAACCCUGGAACUGCCCUGCAGACUGCAGUACUUGAGUCAGCGAGGGGAAGGCGGAAUUCCUGGUGUAGCGGUGAAAUGCGUAGAUAUCAGGAGGAAGGCCUGUGGCGAAGGCGGCCUUCUGGCGCUAGACUGACGCUGAGGCGCGAAAGCGUGGGGAGCAAAC
rnacentral:rRNA from 1 species